AGCGGGGUGGGACAGGGUGGAAGCUAAAUGGCUGCUCUAAAACGCCUUGGUGUAAACAACCCGGGGAAGGACUUCCUUGAACUGCCAGUUACCUGAGUGCGAUCCAUCUCACUAAAGCGUCUGCCCCAAGAGGGGUAGUAUCACCGGGAAAGAAAACAAAUAAAAGACACCCAGCAUGUCGCAACGCAGGCACAGGCUGGGGAAUACUGUCCCCUGGAGGGGGUGAGGGAUCCUCAGCAAGGAGCUAUGGAUCACACAUCUUGGAAGAGGCUGUGCUACUGGCCAGAAAAUUUUCUUCCUAAUGGAAGACCAGCUAACCACAGGAUCUGCUGCAGACCACAGACCAGCCAAACUCUACUAAAGACAGCCCACUAGGUUGGAAUGCGACCACAGUUUGGAAACCACUGGCUCGUGAAAUAAACGAGAUAAUAUUUCAACCUA